rnacentral:rRNA from 1 species
UGGGGAAUAUUGGACAAUGGGCGAAAGCCUGAUCCAGCCAUGCCGCGUGUGUGAAGAAGGUCUUCGGAUUGUAAAGCACUUUAAGUUGGGAGGAAGGGCAUUAACCUAAUACGUUAGUGUUUUGACGUUACCGACAGAAUAAGCACCGGCUAACUCUGUGCCAGCAGCCGAGGUAAUACAGAGGGUGCAAGCGUUAAUCGGAAUUACUGGGCGUAAAGCGCGCGUAGGUGGUUUGUUAAGUUGGAUGUGAAAUCCCCGGGCUCAACCUGGGAACUGCAUUCAAAACUGACUGACUAGAGUAUGGUAGAGGGUGGUGGAAUUUCCUGUGUAGCGGUGAAAUGCGUAGAUAUAGGAAGGAACACCAGUGGCGAAGGCGACCACCUGGACUAAUACUGACACUGAGGUGCGAAAGCGUGGGGAGCAAACA